rnacentral:rRNA from 1 species
AUUGAACGCUGGCGGCAGGCCUAACACAUGCAAGUCGAACGGCAGCGGGGGGUAGCUUGCUACCCCGCCGGCGAGUGGCGGACGGGUGAGUAAUGCCUGGGGAGCUGCCCAGUCGAGGGGGAUACCAGUUGGAAACGACUGCUAAUACCGCAUACGCCCUGAGGGGGAAAGGUGGGGAUCUUCGGACCUACCGCGAUUGGAUGCAUCCAGGUGGGAUUAGCUAGUUGGUGAGGUAACGGCUCACCAAGGCGACGAUCUCUAGCUGGUCUGAGAGGAUGACCAGCCACACUGGAAAUGAGACACGGUCCAGACUCCUACGGGAGGCAGCAGUGGGGAAUAUUGCACAAUGGGGGAAACCCUGAUGCAGCCAUGCCGCGUGUGUGAAGAAGGCCUUCGGGUUGUAAAGCACUUUCAGCGAGGAGGAAAGGGGUGAUGCUAAUACCAUCAUUCUGUGACGUUACUCGCAGAAGAAGCACCGGCUAACUCCGUGCCAGCCGCCGCCGUAA